rnacentral:rRNA from 1 species
UACGUAGGUGGCAAGCGUUAUCCGGAAUUAUUGGGCGUAAAGCGCGCGCAGGUGGUUUCUUAAGUCUGAUGUGAAAGCCCACGGCUCAACCGUGGAGGGUCAUUGGAAACUGGGAGACUUGAGUGCAGAAGAGGAAAGUGGAAUUCCAUGUGUAGCGGUGAAAUGCGUAGAGAUAUGGAGGAACACCAGUGGCGAAGGCGGCGUCCUGGACCAAGUACUGACACUGAAACGCGAAAGCCAGGGGAGCAAACGG